CCUACGGGGGGCUGCAGUGGGGAAUAUUGGACAAUGGGGGGAACCCUGAUCCAGCCAUGCCGCGUGUGUGAAGAAGGCCCUCGGGUUGUAAAGCACUUUCAGUGAGGAAGAACGCCUGGUGGUUAAUACCCAUCAGGAAAGACAUCACUCACAGAAGAAGCACCGGCUAACUCCGUGCCAGCAGCCGCGGUAAUACGGAGGGUGCGAGCGUUAAUCGGAAUUACUGGGCGUAAAGCGCGCGUAGGUGGCUUGAUAAGCCGGUUGUGAAAGCCCCGGGCUCAACCUGGGAACGGCAUCCGGAACUGUCAAGCUAGAGUGCAGGAGAGGAAGGUAGAAUUCCCGGUGUAGCGGUGAAAUGCGUAGAGAUCGGGAGGAAUACCAGUGGCGAAGGCGGCCUUCUGGACUAACACUGACACUGAGGUGCGAAAGCGUGGGUAGCAAACAGGAUUAGAUACCCCUGUAGUC
rnacentral:rRNA from 1 species